rnacentral:lncRNA from 1 species
AGAUAAACACAUUAAAAACAGGGUGCCGAAUUUAGAAUGCCCAGUGGAACCACAUGCUGAAAAAGAAAGAAACGGAGCUUGCUAAUGCAGGAGGAACACAUGGGCAUUGCCAGUGCCCUUAAGCAAAGUGGUGCCUGUCUCCUCCAGGGCCACUCAACACAUCCAAUACUGUGACACAGGCCUUCCUAACCGUCUCUGGUGACAACAGGACAGGAACAUCACAGCUGUUUAUGUGCUAUGAUUUCCUAUGUGUGCACACAGGAAUAAGACUCUCUUGCCUUGCCCACAAACCACUCUUCACUCUUGGGAUGACCUUGCUCCAGCUGGGAUCAGAAGUUCUAGAGCAUUCUGGGUAUGAAAUCAAGGCCUGUGGGGAAAAUUUUAGCACCCAGUGUCUGCCCCGGUGUGCUUAGUGUCACCCCCAUAAGCGUUGACUUCACUAUCCCCCGUGUCCUGACUCCUAUAAAGAUGUUGAGUAAGCUCUGAGGUUUCCUGCCAGCUGAAA